rnacentral:rRNA from 1 species
CAUGCAAGUCGAACGGUUAAAGCAUCUUCGGAUGUGUAUAAAGUGGCGAACGGCUGAGUAACACGUGGGCAACCUGCCCUUUGCACUGGGAUAGCCUCGGGAAACCGAGGUUAAUACCGGAUACUCCAUAUUUGUCGCAUGGCGAAUAUGGGAAAGCUCCGGCGGCAAAGGAUGGGCCCGCGGCCUGUUAGCUAGUUGGUGGGGUAGUGGCCUACCAAGGCAAUGAUGGGUAGCCGGGUUGAGAGACCGACCGGCCAGAUUGGGACUGAGACACGGCCCAGACUCCUACGGGAGGCAGCAGUGGGGAAUCUUGCACAAUGGGCGAAAGCCUGAUGCAGCGACGCCGCGUGCGGGAUGAAGGCCUUCGGGUUGUAAACCGCUUUCAGCAGGGACGAGGCCGCAAGGUGACGGUACCUGCAGAAGAAGCCCCGGCUAACUACGUGCCAGCAGCCGCGGUAAUACGUAGGGGGCAAGCGUUAUCCGGAUUCAUUGGGCGUAAAGCGCGCGUAGGCGGUCUGUUAGGUCAGGAGUUAAAUCUGGGGGCUCAACCCCUAUCCGCUCCUGAUACCGGCAGGCUUGAGUCUGGUAGGGGAAGAUGGAAUUCCAAGUGUAGCGGUGAAAUGCGCA